AGGCUGGGCUGCCCGUCGGGAGCGGUCGCGUCGGGUCCCGGGGGGGAGUGAGCGAGCACCCUCGUGGCCGUUCGAGAAAACCGCGUCAACGUGGAUGUGGCACAUAAAAUGCUGUAUAAAACCUGCUUGGUUUUUUUUUUCCCUUGAAAAGAACAGUGUUUCACAACAUGACUCUGAAAUGACGCAUCACAGAAAUGAUGAGCCUACCAGUGAUUUCAGCUUCCAGGAGUCACCAAAGUAUUUCUAGCAAGGGACAGCGUGGGCUCUAUUUACAGCUUUGCAGAAACAUGUAGAAUCAAGCAUUAAAUAAAGUUUCCUUU